CCUACGGGAGGCAGCAGUGGGGGAUAUUGGACAAUGGGGGGAACCCUGAUCCAGCGACGCCGCGUGAGUGAAGAAGUAUUUCGGUAUGUAAAGCUCUGUCAGCAGGGAAGAAAGCAAUGACGGUACCUGACCAAGAAGCUCCGGCUAACUACGUGCCAGAAGCCGCGGUAAUACGGAGGGGGCAAGCGUUAUCCGGAAUUACUGGGUGCAAGGGGGGCGUAGACGGCUGUGUAAGUCUGGGGUGAAAGGCGGGGGCCCAACCCCCGAACUGCUCUGGAAACUGUAUGGCUGGAGUGCAGGGGAGGUAGGCGGAAUGCCUGGUGUAGCGGUGAAAUGCGUAGAUAUUAGGAAGAACACCAGCGGCGAAGGCGUCUUACGAAACUGUAACUGACGUUGAGGCACGAAAGCGUGGGGAGCAAACAGGAUUAGAUACCCUGGUAGUC
rnacentral:rRNA from 1 species